CCCAUAAUCUUCUCAGACCCAAA
rnacentral:snRNA from 1 species